rnacentral:rRNA from 1 species
AUUGAACGCUGGCGGCAUGCCUUACACAUGCAAGUCGAACGGUAACGGGCCUUCGGGUGCCGACGAGUGGCGAACGGGUGAGUAAUACAUCGGAACGUGCCCGAUCGUGGGGGAUAACGAGGCGAAAGCUUUGCUAAUACCGCAUACGAUCUACGGAUGAAAGCCGGGGACCGCAAGGCCUUGCGCGGACGGAGCGGCCGAUGGCAGAUUAGGUAGUUGGUGGGAUAAAAGCUUACCAAGCCGAAGAUCUGUAGCUGGUCUGAGAGGAUGAUCAGCCACACUGGGACUGAGACACGGCCCAGACUCCUACGGGAGGCAGCAGUGGGGAAUUUUGGACAAUGGGCGCAAGCCUGAUCCAGCCAUGCCGCGUGCAGGAUGAAGGCCUUCGGGUUGUAAACUGCUUUUGUACGGAACGAAAAGCCUUCUUUUAAUACAGGAGGGUCAUGACGGUACCGUAAGAAUAAGCACCGGCUAACUACGUG